AGUCCCUCCCCCUCUCUCUCAGGUUACCAGGCAGUAUUCAGAGAGGAGCUGCUCCUUCCUUUCCCACUUGCUGAGUGGGGGGUGGGUGUCACUGCACACGCGCACAGGCGCAUGUGUCCUCAUAAAUGCCCAACGCCGAGUGGGGAGCGGCAGGGCGCAGGGAGCCGUAGCCGAGCGGCGCGAGAGCGCUGGACCGCGACGGGCACACGUGAGAGCGGCGGAGGAUGGCAAAGGAGCAGCGGCGGAGAGAGAGCAAACAAAGGAGGGCUGUCGUCUUCUGAGCGUCUGUCCUUUUGUCUGGCUGACCGAGACAAUGUGCUGGGGCAAAUGAACUAAUCAGCUCACUAUGACUUUGUGAUUUCCCUUUUUCUUUUUUUUUUCCUGCUCCCUUCCUGGAAACAAGGGGGCAGGCAAAUAGCAGGAGGUGAGAGCGUUUUCGCAGGGAGGAGACCGGAGGGCUAGGCGAUGGAAAGUCUGGUCCUGGCAGGAUGAUGCAAAAGAGAGAUGAUGGAAGGGGAACUUUUUGAAGAUCUCACCCUUUUGACACACUUGUGAAUCAAGGUGAAGCGGUUGACUGGUUUAGAUUAUUAGUAAUGUUUUCGGGCUGUUAAGUUACUGCUGUAACAGAGUCCAGGGCACUUUCUUACCUUCUCUUUUCUACCUUCUUUUCUACCUGUUGUUCAAGUCCUGUUCCUGUGACGCACUGACAUGUAAGUGCUCGGGAGUUUGCUGGUCAGUUUAGUAGUGGGGUUGGAGGGGAGGGGGAAGGUAAAGAGGGUAGGCUUAGAAAAGGAGAAAAUCCUAAAUAGUGACAGCCUGGAGAACGGGAAAGCUGACGAGGGAGGGGGAGAGGGGGAGCGUGAGAUUAUCUGGAAGAGGAGGGAAGGAGUGGUGGUGCAGGAGGAGGUGGUGGGGGAACCUGAGAGGGAGUACACCGUCUGGAAGAAGAGAGAGGGCUUCAAGGAGAAGAGGGCCAGGGAGGAGAGCCUGAGGUCACAGAGGAGCCUGGUGCAUGUGGUAGGACCAGAGGUUGUAUGGAGGAGGAGGGAAGGGCCUGCGGAGAGCGAUAGGGAGAGGCCCCAGGCCAA